CCUUGUUGUCAUGCAGCAGGAUGAAUUUGGAACCAAUCAAAUAUACCAAGCUAAUGGUACCUGUUUGAUGGAUAAGACUCUAAACAUCUAAAGUCCGUAAAGCUUUUGAUUUUGCUUUUAUCCACACCAUAUACUGUGCACAGUCCUGUACACUAAUGGCUGUGGCGAGAACAGGAGAGAUCAAACAGAAGAUGAGAGUGUUCCUAAAAACACGAAAUCUGAGGUGGAGAUAUCCCCAGAUAAUGAAGUGUUGGAUUUGCUCAGCACGGAAACUCCCCCAGCUCCUCCAGCCUGCCAACGAGAAACGAAUGAGCUGCUAACUAGUCUGGACAAGACCCCCAACGUCAAGUGGAUCAGAGGCAUUGCCGCAGACCGUGCUGAACAUUUGAUGUGAGUGCUGCCAGCCGCUGAAGAAACCCCCGGUGACCAGCGAUCUGAUAGUCAACAGCAAUGACCCAAAAGAGCAGCUGGAAUGACUCUCCAGGAGCUCAGUGGUCCCCUGGUCCAGACCUGGGAGGAGAUCCCCCAAGACACCAUCUGUUUUCUCUUUAGGAGCACGUCCCGACGCUGUCAGGCAUGCACACAAUACACAUACAAUGAAUGUGGGGCCAUACAAACUACUGAGUUCCAUUUUGUAACAUGGAGUAGACUACUACAUCGUUUUUUCACUUUGAAUUUUUUGGGUGUGUUUGAUUUCUGCUCUCUGUAGAAAUCAAACACACCCAUUUUCAUUUUCAUUCCCAUCAGAUGAUGUGGCAUCCUUUUGUUCCUAACACAUUACCCAGUCAAUAUUGUUUUUU
ensembl:lncRNA